rnacentral:rRNA from 1 species
UACGUAGGGUGCGAGCGUUAAUCGGAAUUACUGGGCGUAAAGCGUGCGCAGGCGGUUCGUUAAGUUCGUUGUGAAAGCCCCGGGCUCAACCUGGGAACUGCAUUGGAAACUGACGGGCUUGAGUGUGGCAGAGGGGGGUGGAAUUCCGACGUGUAGCAGUGAAAUGCGUAGAGAUGCGGAGGAACACCGAUGGCGAAGGCAGCCCCCUGGGCAACACUGACGCUCAGGCACGAAAGCGUGGGGAGCAAACAGGAUUAGAACUACCGUAGUCA